rnacentral:hammerhead_ribozyme from 1 species
AUUCAACUGACGAGUUCGAAAUAGGACGAAACACAUGUCAUGAAU